GAUGAACGCUAGCGGCAGGCUUAAUACAUGCAAGUCGAGGGGCAGCAGGACUGUAGCAAUACAGUUGCUGGCGACCGGCAAACGGGUGCGGAACACGUACGCAACCUACCCAAAACUGGGGGAUAGCCCGGGGAAACCCGGAUUAAUACCUCGUAACCUUUUUAAGUGGCAUCACUUGAUAAGUAUAGCUCCGGCGGUUUUGGAUGGGCGUGCGCCUGAUUAGGUAGUUGGUGCGGGUAACGGCCCACCAAGCCUGCGAUCAGUAACUGGUGUGAGAGCACGAACAGUCACACGGGCACUGGGACACGGGCCCGACUCCUACGGGAGGCCGGAGUAAGGAAUAUGGGUCAAUGGCCGCAAGUCUGAACCCGCCGUGCCGGGUGAAGGAUGAAGGUCCUCUGGAUUGUAAACUUUUUUUUUGGGGGAAGAAACCCGGAUAUUCUUAUCCGAUUGACGGUACCUCAGGAAUAAGCACCGGCUAACCCCGG
rnacentral:rRNA from 1 species